rnacentral:rRNA from 1 species
GUCUACUGCCAUACCACCCUGAAUGCACCUGAUCUCAUCUGGUCUCGGAAGCUAAGCAGAGUUGAGCCUAGUUAGUACUUGGCUGGGAGGAUAGAGGGUCUUCUCCCAGCAACCU